UAGGUUUGUCGAGGCAUUCCAGGUAGAUGC
rnacentral:piRNA from 1 species